UGGGGAAUUUUGGACAAUGGGCGCAAGCCUGAUCCAGCCAUGCCGCGUGCGGGAAGAAGGCCUUCGGGUUGUAAACCGCUUUUGUCAGGGAAGAAAUCUUCUGAGUUAAUACCUCGGGAGGAUGACGGUACCUGAAGAAUAAGCACCGGCUAACUACGUGCCAGCAGCCGCGGUAAUACGUAGGGUGCAAGCGUUAAUCGGAAUUACUGGGCGUAAAGCGUGCGCAGGCGGUUUUGUAAGACAGAGGUGAAAUCCCCGGGCUCAACCUGGGAACUGCCUUUGUGACUGCAAGGCUUGAGUGCGGCAGAGGGGGGAUGGAAUUCCGCGUGUAGCAGUGAAAUGCGUAGAUAUGCGGAGGAACACCGAUGGCGAAGGCAAUCCCCUGGGCCUGCACUGACGCUCAUGCACGAAAGCGUGGGGAGCAAACAGGAUUAGAUACCCUGGUAGUCACGCCCUAAACGAUGUCAACUGGUUGUUGGGAAGGUUCCUUCUCAGUAACGUAGCUAACGCGUGAAGUUGACCGCCUGGGGAGUACGGCCGCAAGGUUG
rnacentral:rRNA from 1 species